UGAGGAUGUGGUUGCUGGAAUCAGAACCCCGGAGGAUCUUGAUGCCAUGAAGGCACAGAUGCCGGAUGCUUAUGUAGAGCUCGUUGAGAACUGCAAGAUACUGGAGAGCCACUACAAAGAAAUGAUGGUACCUUAUUAUUGCAUUUUCAACCUUUACUGCACCAUUUAUUUUUGAGCUAUAUUUAAACAUGAUCUCUUUAAUAAUUUGCAACAUAAGCGCACUUGAAUACUGGUGUUGCUUCAAUGUGUUCUGUAGAUUGGCAUUGUGUCUCUGUUACUGCCAUUGGCCAUGAUCUCAGACUUGCUUGCUUUUUAUGCAUGAUGCAGGACAUUGAAUUUACCGUUCAGGAAAAUAGGCUCUGGAUGUUACAGUGCAGAUCAGGAAAACGUACAGGCCAAGGGGCGGUAAAGAUUGCUGUGGACAUGGUUAAUGAGGGUCUUGUUGAGCGCCGUCAAGCGAUUAAGAUGGUAGAGCCAGGCCACCUGGACCAGCUUCUCCAUCCUCAGGUAAUGGAUAACCAUGAGGCCCGUAAACUGAUUGUGCCUUACUUGAAAUUCAGUACUCUUAUAAGUUUGGCCUUACUUGGAAUUCACUUUAUAAGUUAAGUACUGGAUAUGUAUUAACAUCACUGUUUUAAUCUUGUCCAAUGAAAACCAGUUUGAGAACCCAUCAGCAUACAAGGAUCAAGUAAUCGCUACAGGCUUACCAGCUUCACCUGGGGCUGCUGUGGGCCAAAUUGUAUUUACUGCAGAGGACGCUGAAGCAUGGCAUGCCCAAGGGAAAGCUGCUAUCCUGGUAAACACCAUUUUAUCCUCAUUUUUAAGAAAAAAAGGUCUUCUGCAGUUUUUGUGUCAUUUUGAUCUGGACUUUGUGCUUCGAUGAAAAGAUCUGUUAAUUGAGCAAAACUGGUCUAUUUACUGGACCUGUUAGAAUAGUUGCUUGCAGAGUUACAGUCACAAAAAUCCCACUUAUCACAGACAGCCAUUUUUGAAAUGCAUAUGGAAGCUCCAAGUCGUAUCGCUUCAUCUUUUGCAUUCUGAGAAUUUUUUCUUUGCAAAUAUAUAGGUGAGGACAGAGACCAGCCCAGAGGAUGUUGGUGGCAUGCACGCAGCUGUUGGAAUUCUUACAGCAAGAGGUGGGAUGACCUCUCAUGCUGCUGUGGUAGCACGUGGUUGGGGAAAAUGUUGUGUCUCAGGAUGCUCAAGCGUUCUCGUAAAUGAUGCUGAGAAGGUGAAUAGAAUUCUUGUUUGCACAUCUUCUUCUUUGUAGAAGGUGACAUGCCAUGUUAAAGUUUGUAACAGGAUUAUGACAUUCUUUGUAGAUGUGCUCCGUCCGCCAUUUUUAAGUUCUUAUUAACGAGAUUUUGAGGAUGUAGAUGUUUCCUUACUUUGCUAUGUCUACAUUUACAGUCUGUAGUGAUUGGAGACAAGGUGAUGCAUGAAGGUGAGUGGCUAUCACUGAAUGGAUCUACUGGUGAAGUCAUCGUGGGGAAGCAGCCACUUUCCCCACCAGUCCUCAGUGGUGAUCUGGGAACCUUCAUGUCCUGGGUAGAUGAAGUUAGGCAACUGAAGGUAAAUUCCUAGAAAUAACAAAUAUGUAAUAUUAGUUAAAACAUGGAUACAAACUGUUGGAAGUAGAAACCAACAAAAAGGGCAUCAGAUUAUUUAUUCAGACAGGCCAAAGCUAGUCAACCCCACUACACAUUUUUCAACAGAAAUGCUUAUUCGUACAUAUGAUCCACCUUCCAGGUUUUGGCUAAUGCGGAUACCCCUGAGGAUGCACUGACAGCAAGAAACAAUGGGGCAGAAGGAAUUGGACUAUGCCGGACGGAGCACAUGGUAUGUAUUUUAGUUACUGUCCAAUAUCUUUUGGGUGGGAUCUUGGAAAACUUACUCUUUCUUGAAUUCCUUCGUCGAACAGUUGGGUAAACUUUAAGGACCUCCCGUUCUAGUCUCAUGUUCUCCUUUUCUGCACUUUGGCAGUUCUUUGCUUCGGAUGAGAGGAUUAAGGCUGUGAGGCAGAUGAUUAUGGCUCCCACACUUGAACUGAGGCAGAAGGCACUAGAUCGUCUUUUGCCUUAUCAGAGGUCUGACUUUGAAGGCAUUUUCCGUGCUAUGGAUGGUAUGUGAAAAUCACGAUGCAUUCAUUUACAUGCUCUCCAAUUGAACUGGAUGCACUAGUGUUACUGAACAUAACAAGAGUAAGCAACCUUCUUAAAUAGACAACAUUGACUACUAAUGUAAAGUGAAAAGGUAGACAAGUUUUAAACCUUAGGAUGCAAAAUACUUCAAAAAUAAGAACGAAAUUGGGCCAGUAACAUAUUGCAUCAAUUAUUUAACUUGGUAACAUAAAGUUCUGCUAUGAUUUAUCCAUUAGUUUUUUUUAAUCUUUUAUAGCGAGUGGUAUAUGUACAUGUUUCAUGGAAACAGAUAUAGAAUUAAACUACUAGAAUAAAUUUUAACAUGUAUUGUAGUUAGUUCCACAGUAUGUAUUUUAAAGUGCGGAAUGGAUUUGAACAUUAUUUUUUUUGCAUUUCAGGGCUUUCAGUGACUAUUCGGCUUCUGGACCCCCCACUUCAUGAGUUUCUUCCUGACGGGAAUGUUGAAGACAUUGUGCGUGAAUUAUGUUCUGAAACUGGAGCCAAUCAGGAGGAAGCCCUUGCAAGAAUUGAAAGUCUUUCAGAAGUAAAUCCAAUGCUUGGUUUCCGUGGGUGCAGGUUGGUUUUUGUGCUCCGUUUAAAUCAGUCACCCCCCCUCCUUGAUCCAUUUGGUUCCCUUGUUAGUGAAAUAUUAAAAAGAAUAAACUCUGUAUAUUUACCUCGACUAAUAUUGGAACUGCUAAAAUUCCAGGCUCGGUAUAUCAUAUCCUGAGCUAACAGAAAUGCAAGCCCGUGCCAUCUUUGAAGCUGCUAUAGCGAUGACCAACCAGGGUGUUCAAGUUUUCCCAGAGAUAAUGGUUCCUCUUGUUGGGACACCUCAGGCAUGCAUCUUUAUUUCCUUAUUUGUGCAUAUGGUAUCUCUGCAGUUCAUGGUGUUCAAAAUGACAAAAUCAAAAUUGAAUAAACAACCAAGUUCUGUACACAUGUAAUUUACGAUUUUAUGCAAACAUCAAGUUGACCUACACCCAAUUUCCCACCAAAUUCAUUUCUUGAAAUUUUCUCUCUCGAAUUCUAAGUUUAUUGCUUUCACUUGAUUUUUCCUUCAGACAUCUGACAUUUGACUUUUGCAGGAACUGGGGAAUCAAGUGGCCCUUAUCCGUGAAACUGCUAACAAAGUUUUCGCUGCUCUGGGUAAAACCAUUGACUACAAAAUUGGAACUAUGAUUGAAAUUCCGAGGGCAGCUCUAGUAGCUGAUGAGGUAGGAAGCAUCUAACUCCCUUCAGAAUAAUCUUAAAUAUUGCUGUUUAGGUUUAGCUUUUAGAUCAUAUUUUUCAUGAAUGGUUUAGUAAUAGAACCCCGGAUUUUUACUCUAAAACAUGUGAAUAGUAACUGAUGGUAUGAAUUUAUUAAGUGCAAAUAAUAAGUUUAUCCUCUAAUUUAAAAAAAAAACUGACAUUCUUGUUUUGGUUUCACAACCUGACAGAUAGCAGAGCAGGCUGAAUUCUUCUCUUUUGGAACGAACGACCUCACACAGAUGACAUUUGGCUACAGCAGGGAUGAUGUGGGGAAGUUUCUUCCCAUUUAUCUGUCUCAGGGUAUCCUCCAACAUGAUCCCUUUGAGGUAAAAUUUUAGCAGCUCUCACCCUUCAGUUUUAGAUGAUAUACCUGCAUUUUCAUCAUCCACUCUUGUUUUUCAAGGAAUAUUUCCAUCAUCCACAGAUGCGAGCAUCUCAUGUCCUCUAGGCAUUUUUCAUGUCCUUGACUUUUGGUUACGUGCAUGCUCUGGUAAAAUUCAACCUAGUAACUUGCCCAUUGAAUGUUGAUAAACAUAUCAGGUGCUGGAUCAGAGGGGAGUGGGCGAGCUGGUUAAGUUUGCUACAGAGAGGGGUCGCAAAGCUAGGCCUAACUUGAAGGUUAGUUUUUGGGACUUGUGGACAUUGGCUCUUUUCCUUAGAAAUCAUGGUUUCAUUGUUUGGUGCUGUCUGCAAACAGGUGGGCAUCUGUGGAGAACACGGUGGGGAGCCUUCGUCAGUUGCAUUCUUUGCAAAGUCGGGGCUGGAUUAUGUUUCUUGCUCGCCUUUCAGGUUGGUCAAGUGAUAAACUCAAGAUACAACUCCCAGAUUCAUAACUGUAGCAAAACCUUAACUACUUUUUAUGAAAUAUCUUGUGCAGGGUUCCCAUCGCCAGGCUAGCUGCAGCUCAGGUGCUCGUCUGAGGGCACCGCCUCAUCGGCAACCGGAUCACCUGCUGUUGGUGCGUCUGGUGAAGAAUACUAAUACAAAGCCAUGGAACGGUGGAACUCUGCUGCCUGGCAAAGGCCGUUGUAUCUUGUAUGAAGUCUCCGUGCGCGUGCGCAUGUAAGACUUAAUGUGUGGUUUUCUGCAUUUUCCCUUGAACUACCAUGGUAAUGUAGUACCAAACAGAGAUGAUGACGAAGAACAAUCGAAUAAAUUAAUUGGCGAUUAC
rnacentral:lncRNA from 1 species